UCAUUUGUUUUUCUCUUUGAAGAUAGGUCCGUGGUCCUCCGUCAUUCUGAAAUCCCAAAACCUUUAAAAACAGAGUUUUAACAGAAGUUUUCAGCAAACUUAUUAGAUGACAAAAACAUAACCUUAACUAAGGAGUAACCAUUUGUGUUGUUGGCUUUCUUUCUGCAAGAUCUAAGAGGCCCGGUGGAAUCAAUAUUCCCAAAACGCUUCCCAGGGUUAUGAGACCCGCUGAAAGUGUAAGCACUGGGAAAUGCUGACCCAGUUAUUCAAAAUUAUGGUGAGCAAGAGUCAAGAGUCUUCCCAACCAGAGGUCUCGCUGUUGCAAAGGGGCCCUCUCACCCAGGUUUCAGGAAUUACAGUUGUCCCUGAAAAGGUAACUGCUAAAGCAUUACGUUGAUAUCAAAACACAUGGGUUGUAAAGCCACCGAAACGAUAGUAGAUGGUGAAGAAAGAAACUGACGAUUAAAACAUGAUGAAAACCA